rnacentral:tRNA from 1 species
CCGCCCCUAGCUCAAUUGGUAGAGCGGGACCCUUUUAAGGUCACGGUUCCGGGUCCGAGUCCCGGGGGGCGGA